rnacentral:lncRNA from 1 species
GAAUGAGCUUCAGGUGAAUCACUGCAUGAGCCCUCAAGUGGAACUUAUUUUCCAGGAAUGCAUUUUACCUGGCUAGUUUUGAGGCACAUGACCUCCCAACACUCGAGGAAUCAUCUGCUAAUGGCACAGGCAGAGUCAUGCCCACUCACCAUGUAAAGCCACUUGGAUUGCUCUGACCACGUGGCCGCAGGCCCACUCUAAAGAGGAAUGUCAAAACCGUGGGACCACCCUGUGGGAAGUGGAAACAAAGCAAGAAGGCAAACCAUUUCCUUUUCAAAGACAGUGCUUGGAAUUUGAAUGCAUCACGUCUGCUGCUGACGUUGUAUUGGCUGGAACCUAGUCAUGUGGUCAUGUGGUCAUGUGGCUUACCUAGCUAUAAGGAAUCUUGGGAAAUGUCUCUAACUAGGAAGCCUUGUGUCCAGCUAAAACUUAGGAUUCUAUACUAAAAGAAAAAUCAAGAAGUGAAUACUGGCAGAAAAUUAACGGCCUCUGUCACUAUUGCAAUAGGACGGGCAAAAAAGUGAGGAGCAGAACUAAAGUCGUGGGUGUAUCAGAGAGAAAGGAUGUAUUUGAGAAAUAGAUUCUGUUUUUAUGACUGUUUUGAUCUUAUGGUGAGGGAGGAAGGAGAAGUGGACAACUUUUAGGUUUCUAGGUGAGGGGAUGGUGAUGGUGUUAACCAUGGUAGAGAUUCUAGGGGAAGAGAAAGGAGAGGAAAAUAUGAGUCUGGGACUAGACAAUGAAUUUAAGUUGACUGAAGAAUAUUGAAGUAGAAACGUCCAAUCCUGUAGGCAGUUGGAAAGACUUGUCAAAGGACCCUGGGAAAGGUUGCUACUGGAGAUCAAGAUUUGGCAAACAUGAUGGUUGUCAGAGCUUGGAUGCAAACAGGAUAGCCCAGAGUAUGACAUGGAAAGAGGAAUCAGUGCUGGGGAACACUGGUAUUUAAGGUGAGCACUGGAAGAGAAACUAAUGAAAAGUGGUC